GAAGGCCCAGAGACCAGCAGAACGGCAUCCCAGCCACGACAGCCACUUUGCUCUGUCUGCUCUCCGCCACGGCCCUGCUCUGUUCCCUGGGACACCCCUGCCCCCACCUCCUCAGGCUGCCUGAUCUGCCCAGCUUUCCUCUGGAUUCCGGCCUCUGGUCAUCCCUUCCCACCCUCUCUCCAAGGCCCUCUCCUGGUCUCCCUUCUUCUAGAUCCCCUUCCUCCACCUCCCUCUCUGCAGAACUUCUCCUUUGCCCCCCACCCCCCGUCACUGCCCCCUUUCCUUUUCCGACCUCCUUUUGGAGGGCUCAGCGCUGCCCAGACCCUAGGAGAGAUGUGGGAGGCUCAGUUCCUGGGCUUGCUGUUUCUGCAGCCGCUUUGGGUGGCUCCAGGUAAAACGGGGAUGGCGGGAGGGUUGACCUCCAACCCCACAGGAGGGGACCAGCAGGGAUCUCUGUGGCCACAAAGGUCCUGAGGUCCUUAGCUCUGUGGUGGAUUCUUCUAAUCCCUUUCUUGGGCAGUCCUUCCACCCCGAAAGCCUCUCUGGGCAGAGAAGAAACAGAAACCCGAGUUCUUCCUGCACCCUGUUUCUCCCUCGGGAAACUCCCAGGCUCCUUCUCUACCCCUGCCUCUCGGCUCACGCCCCCUCCCCUCGGCCUCUCUUUUGCUCACCUAGUGAAGCCUCUCCAGCCAGGGGCUGAGGUCCCGGUGGUUUGGGCCCAGGAGGGGGCUCCUGCCCAGCUCCCCUGCAGCCCCACAAUCCCCCUCCAGGAUCUCAGCCUUCUGAGAAGAGCAGGGGUCACUUGGCAGCAUCAGCCAGACAGUGGCCCGCCCGCUCCCGCCCCCGGCCAUCCCCUGGCCCCCGGCCCUCACCCGGCGGCGCCCUCCUGGGGGCCCAGGCCCCGCCGCUACACGGUGCUGAGCGUGGGUCCCGGAGGUCUGCGCAGCGGGAGGCUGCCCCUGCAGCCCCGCGUCCAGCUGGAUGAGCGCGGCCGGCAGCGCGGGGACUUCUCGCUAUGGCUGCGCCCAGCCCGGCGCGCGGACGCCGGCGAGUACCGCGCCGCGGUGCACCUCAGGGACCGCGCCCUCUCCUGCCGCCUCCGUCUGCGCCUGGGCCAGGCCUCGAUGACUGCCAGCCCCCCAGGGUCUCUCAGAACCUCCGACUGGGUCAUUCUGAACUGCUCCUUCAGCCGCCCUGACCGCCCAGCCUCUGUGCAUUGGUUCCGGAACCGGGGCCAGGGCCGAGUCCCUGUCCGGGAGUCCCCCCAUCACCACUUAGCGGAAAGCUUCCUCUUCCUGCCCCAAGUCAGCCCCAUGGACUCUGGGCCCUGGGGCUGCAUCCUCACUUACAGAGAUGGCUUCAAUGUCUCCAUCAUGUAUAACCUCACUGUUCUGGGUCUGGAGCCCCCAACUCCCUUGACAGUGUACGCUGGAGCAGGUUCCAGGGUGGAGCUGCCCUGCCGCCUGCCUCCUGGUGUGGGGACCCCAUCUUUCCUCACUGCCAGGUGGACUCCUCCUGAGGGAGGCCCUGACCUCCUGGUGACUGGAGACAAUGGCGACUUUACCCUUCGACUAGAGGAUGUGAGCCAGGCCCAGGCUGGGACCUACACCUGCCAUAUCCAUCUGCAGGGACAGCAGCUCAGUGCCACUGUCACAUUGGCAAUCAUCACAGUGACUCCCAAAUCCUUUGGGUCACCUGGAUCCCUGGGGAAGCUGCUUUGUGAGGUGACUCCAGUAUCUGGACAAGAACGCUUUGUGUGGAGCCCUCUGGACACCCCAUCCCAGAGGAGUUUCUCAGGACCUUGGCUGGAGGCACAGGAGGCCCAGCUCCUUUCCCAGCCUUGGCAAUGCCAGCUGUACCGGGGGGAGAGGCUUCUCGGAGCAGCAGUAUACAUCACAGAGCUGUCUAGCCCAGGUGCCCAACGCUCUGGGAGAGCCCCAGGUGCCCUCCAAGCAGGCCACCUCCUGCUGUUUCUCAUCCUUGGUAUCCUUUCUCUGCUCCUUUUGGUGACUGGAGCCUUUGGCUUUCACCUUUGGAGAAGACAGGUGAGCCAGGGACAUGCCAACCCCACCCCCCAGCAGCUCCAGCUCUUCCAUCCUCAGAGUGCUGAUGGCACCCCUUCCUCAGGAAGGUGACCAAAUGGGACCCUGAACUUGCCCUCAGAGCCCCCCUUCUUCAUAAACCUCUCACUCCAGGGACGGCUUGUGCCUGGGUAGGCUGGAAGGGGGGUUGAGAGAAAGCCAGGACCAGAUGGGGAGGGCAGGGGGACUGAGAAAAAAUAGAUGGACUCAGUGUCCCUCCUCAUCCGUUUCCCUUCAUCCUUCUCCUUCCACUCUCCGUCUCUCUCUCCAUCUCUUCUCACAGUGGCGACCAAGAAGAUUUUCUGCCUUAGAGCAAGGGAUUCACCCUCCGCAGGCUCAGAGCAAGAUAGAGGAGCUGGAGCAAGAACCGGAGCUGGAGCCGGAGCCGGAACCAGAGCCCGAGCUGGGGCCGGAGCCCGAGCUGGGGCCCCAGCCCGAGCCGGAACAGCUCUGACCUGGAGCUGAGGCAGCCAGCAGAUCUCAGCAGCCCAGUCCAAAUAAACUCCCUGUCAGCAGCAA
rnacentral:sRNA from 1 species